GCUUUUAUUGAAUUGCCAUUUGCUUCCUGCUGUCCCUAUCCCACCUCUGUCUAAAGCUCUAUUUCUGAAAUAGUGUCUUUCCUCUCAUUUGUCUCAGAGAGCCAUAGUCAAACAUCAUGAAAAAGCAUUGGAAACUAAAGAUGCCUUUAAACUGAGAGGACUACUCAGCAGGGAUCCACGAUUUCAAAUCUCUGCCAGGAAGUGGCUUCAGACGCUUGGAGCCUGAAGAUGGAAAAUUCUAACCCUUGGUUUUGCUUCAGGUUCCAGCAAGUAGGAACAGAGUUCCCGUAAAAUGAAGCUAAGGUCACUGGCAGAGUGCAAUGGGUUAAACUGACAUGACCGGAGUUGGACAGUGAGCACUGCUGGCCCCAUCUCGGAAAGGAGGUCAUCUGGUGCUGGGUGCAUGGCUCUGGGCAGAAAAUUUUGGUUGAAGAGAUGUGUGCUACAAUGGUCUUGAGGUUAAUUGUACUGACAACUAGAAAAUAUCUGGAAAAAGAUAGUGAAGCUCAAGGAAACUCCUCGUGGUCAUUGAUCCCUGAAGAACACUUGAAGACAAACCCUAUUGGAUAAAGGUGGUGGAUUUUUAGCUUCUUUACUUCCACUUCAGCGGUCGGCAAAUGAUGACCCCUGGAAUAAAUCUGGUCUGCUGUGUUUUUGUUAAUAAAAUGUUAUUGGC
rnacentral:lncRNA from 1 species